rnacentral:rRNA from 1 species
ACCAAAGAGGGGGACCUUCGGGCCUCUUGCCAUCAGAUGUGCCCAGAUGGGAUUAGCUAGUAGGUGGGGUAACGGCUCACCUAGGCGACGAUCCCUAGCUGGUCUGAGAGGAUGACCAGCCACACUGGAACUGAGACACGGUCCAGACUCCUACGGGAGGCAGCAGUGGGGAAUAUUGCACAAUGGGCGCAAGCCUGAUGCAGCCAUGCCGCGUGUAUGAAGAAGGCCUUCGGGUUGUAAAGUACUUUCAGCGAG